UACGUAGGGUGCAAGCGUUAUCCGGAUUCACUGGGUUUAAAGGGUGCGUAGGUAGCUUUAUAAGUCAGUGGUGAAAUGCCGCAGCUCAACUGCGGAACUGCCAUUGAUACUGUUUAGCUUGAAUCACGUCGAGGUGGAUGGAAUAUUACAUGUAGCGGUGAAAUGCUUAGAUAUGUAAUAGAACACCGAUUGCGAAGGCAGUUCACUAGGCGUGCAUUGACACUGAGGCACGAAAGCGUGGGGAUCAAACAGG
rnacentral:rRNA from 1 species